AGUGAACGCUGGCGGUAGGCCUAACACAUGCAAGUCGAACGGCAGCACAGUAAGAGCUUGCUCUUACGGGUGGCGAGUGGCGGACGGGUGAGGAAUACAUCGGAAUCUACUUUUUCGUGGGGGAUAACGUAGGGAAACUGACGCUAAUACCGCAUACGACCUACGGGAGAAAGCAGGAGAUCUUCGGACCUUGCGCGAUUGAAUGAGCCGAUGUCGGAUUAGCUAGUUGGCGGGGUAAAGGCCCACCAAGGCGACGAUCCGUAGCUGGUCUGAGAGGAUGAUCAGCCACACUGGAACUGAGACACGGUCCAGACUCCUACGGGAGGCAGCAGUGGGGAAUAUUGGACAAUGGGCGCAAGCCUGAUCCAGCCAUACCGCGUGGGUGAAGAAGGCCUUCGGGUUGUAAAGCCCUUUUGUUGGGAAAGAAAAGCAGCAGGUUAAUACCCCGCUGUUCUGACGGUACCCAAAGAAUAAGCACCGGCUAACUUCGUG
rnacentral:rRNA from 1 species